rnacentral:rRNA from 1 species
AAAUAUUCCUGCACCGUGUUAAAGGGUUGAAGCAGCGUGACGGACUUUCGGAGUGAGUCGCACGAUUAGACGUGUGCGUCUCGAAGGAACGAGGGCUCGAUCCCGAAGCUCACGAAGAAAGUCUCAAGAAAUAGCGUCUGUGGACUGAUAACACGUCCGUACUAAAACUGACACAGGUAGGUGGGGUGAAUAACCUCAGGCGCUCGAGAGAACAGUCGUGAAGGAACUAGGCAAAUUAACCCCGUAAGUUAGCGAUAAGGGGGCCCUCCUCGCUUCGGCGAGAGGGCGCAGAGAAAAGGCUCUGGGAACUGUUUAUCAAAAACACAGGACUGUGCCAACUCUUAUAGAGGAAGUAUACAGUCUUACGCGUGCUCGAUGCUGGAAUGUCAAGGAAGCAGGUCAGCCGCAAGGCGAAGCUUGCGACUUAAGCACCAGUCAAUGGCGGCCGUAACUCUGACGGUCCUAAGGUAGCGAAGUUCCUUGUCGGGUAAGUUCCGACGCGCAUGAAUCGCGUAAUCACUGGAGCACUGUCUCCACGACUGACUCGGUGAAAUAGAAGACGCGGUGUAGAUACCGUGUACCCGCAGCAAGACGGAAAGACCCCGUGCACCUUUACUGUAGGCUGGUAUUGGCCACGAAUACGUUCUGCGUAGGAUAGGUGGGAGGCUUCGAAGCUCUGGUUUUGGCCAGAGUGGAGCCGCCGUUGAAAUACCACCCUGAAUGUUUUUGUGACCUAACCUUGAUCCGUGAAACCGGACAAGGGACCGUGCUAGCUGGGCAGUUUGACUGGGGCGGUCUCCUCCCAAAAAGUAACGGAGGAGUGCAAAGGUUAGCUCAGCACAGUUGGAAACUGUGCGUUGAAUGCAAGAGUAUAAGCUAGCUUUACUGCGAGACGUACAUGUCAAGCAGUUACGAAAGUAGGCUCUUGAUCCGGCGAUCCCGUGUGGAAGGGUCGUCGCUCAACGGAUAAAAGGUACGCCGGGGAUAACAGGCUGAUCGCGCCCGAGCGUCCAUAGCGGCGGCGCGGUUUGGCACCUCGAUGUCGGCUCAUCACAUCCUGGGGCUGAAGUCGGUCCCAAGGGUUGGGCUGUUCGCCCAUUAAAGUGGUACGCGAGCUGGGUUCAGACCGGCGUGAGCCAGGUCGGUCCCUAUCUGCUGUGGGCGUAGCAAUAUUGAGAGGAUUCUUCUCUAGUACGAGAGGAUUGGGAAGGACAUACCCCUGGUGCGCCAGUUGCACUGCUAAGUGCAUCGCUGGAUAGCUAAGUAUGGCAGGGAUAAACGCUGAAAGCAUCUAAGCGUGAAGCCCCCCUCAAGAUUAGUAUUGCAUUCCCGCAAGGGAGAAAGACCCCCGGAAGACCACCGGGUUGAUAGGUAGAAGGUGUAAAGACAGAAAUGUUCUUAGCUUAUCUAUACUAAUGGUCGACCGCUUGAUCG